GCACAAGCGGUGGAGCAUGUGGUUUAAUUCGACGCAACGCGCAGAACCUUACCAGCCUUUGACAUCCCGGUCGCGAGCACCAGAGAUGGAGCUCUUCAGUUCGGCUGGACCGGAGACAGGUGCUGCAUGGCUGUCGUCAGCUCGUGUCGUGAGAUGUUGGGUUAAGUCCCGCAACGAGCGCAACCCUCGCCCUUAGUUGCCAUCAUUUAGUUGGGCACUCUAAGGGGACUGCCGGUGAUAAGCCGGAGGAAGGUGGGGAUGACGUCAAGUCCUCAUGGCCCUUACAGGCUGGGCUACACACGUGCUACAAUGGCGGUGACAGAGGGACGCAAAGGAGCAAUCCUUCGCAAAUCUCAAAAAGCCGUCUCAGUUCGGAUUGUGCUCUGCAACUCGAGCACAUGAAGUUGGAAUCGCUAGUAAUCGCAGAUCAGCACGCUGCGGUGAAUACGUUCCCGGGC
rnacentral:rRNA from 1 species